AAUGCAUUAAAUGUAGACAGUCCGAUAAUAAAUUCAUUUUACUGGACUUUUUCAUACACUUUGUACUACUGUUUUCGUUGAAAAAAUGCUGAUAGUAAGAUUAAAUUUAAAUUAUGAACUCGGAUCGAAAUUGGGACGUUCUAUCGUCCCGAUGACUAAACUUGAAAAUUUAAUGCGAUGUCCAUUCGAAAUCGCCUUAAUUGGAACGUCUGGUCAGAUUUUCGACAUUUUUUUCAUUUCAAUAAAAAAGUGUAGAAUAAUGUUUCGGUUUUUUUUAAAAAUAUAUCGUAUGUACAGAUAGCAUUUACAUAAUAUUACCAUGUAUUCCUAAGACUCGCAGUAGAAAAGACACGGG